GUGAGGAAUUUUGCGUAAUGGGCGAAAGCCUGACGCAGCGACGCCGCGUGAAGGAUGAAGUCCCUCGGGAUGUAAACUUCUGUCAGUGGGGAUGAUAAUGACAGUACCCACAGAGGAAGCACCGGCUAACUCCGUGCCAGCAGCCGCGGUAAGACGGAGGGUGCAAGCGUUGUUCGGAAUUACUGGGCGUAAAGCGUACGUAGGUGGCGGGUUAAGUCGAAUGUUAAAGCCUGGAGCUCAACUCCAGAGAUGCAUUCGAUACUGGCCUGCUAGAGGGUGAUAGAGGAAAGCGGAAUUCCGAGUGUAGCGGUGAAAUGCGUAGAUAUUCGGAGGAACACCAGUAGCGAAGGCGGCUUUCUGGGUCACACCUGACACUGAGGUACGAAAGCGUGGGGAGCAAACGGGAUUAGAAACCCCGGUAGUCC
rnacentral:rRNA from 1 species